rnacentral:rRNA from 1 species
UGAGUGCUUGCACAAGAUUGGACUUGGAUUACCACCUAGUGGCGGACGGGUGAGUAACACGUAGGUGACCUACCUUUGAGUUUGGGAUAACUAUUAGAAAUGAUAGCUAAUACCGAAUUAAAUGCAGAUUCGUUUCUGUAUUAAAAGGAGCCUUUAAAGCUUCGCUUAAAGAUGGGCCUGCGGCGUAUUAGCUAGUUGGUGAGGUAAUGGCUUACCAAGGCGACGAUGCGUAGCCGAACUGAGAGGUUGAUCGGCCACAUUGGGACUGAGACACGGCCCAAACUCCUACGGGAGACAGCAGUUAGGAAUAUUCGUCAAUGGGGGAAACCCUGAACGAGCAAUGCCGCGUGAACGAUGAAGGCCCUAUGGGUUGUAAAGUUCUGUUGCAUGGGACGAACGAUUAGGAUAGGAAAUGAUCUUAAUGUGACGGUACCAUGCCAGAAAGCUCCGGCUAACUACGUGCCAGCAGCCGCGGUAAUACGUAGGGAGCAAGCGUUAUCCGGAUUUAUUGGGCGUAAAGGGUGCGUAGGCGGCUUGUUAAGUAUGAGAUUAAAGCCCGAGGCUUAACCUCGGUUCGUUUCGUAAACUGGCAGGCUUGAGUGUGGCAGAGGUAAACGGAAUUUCUAGUGUAGCGGUUAAAUGCGUAGAUAUUAGAAGGAACACCAGUGGCGAAGGCGGUUUACUGGGCCAUAACUGACGCUGAGGCACGAAAGCGUGGGGAGCAAAUAGGAUUAGAUACCCUAGUAGUCCACGCCGUAAACGAUGAGUACUAAGUGUUGGGGCAACCCAGUGCU